rnacentral:rRNA from 1 species
GGGGGUACAGGUUAGAGGUUUGAUCCUGGUUCAGGUAGGUGUAAACUUGAUACAAAGCUGUUGAGUGGCGGACGGGUGAGUAAUGUCUGGGAAACUGCCUGAUGGAGGGGGAUAACUACUGGAAACGGUAGCUAAUACCGCAUAACGUCGCAAGACCAAAGAGGGGGACCUUCGGGCCUCUUGCCAUCGGAUGUGCCCAGAUGGGAUUAGCUUGUUGGUGGGGUAACGGCUCACCUAGGCGACGAUCCCUAGCUGGUCUGAGAGGAUGACCAGCCACACUGGAACUGAGACACGGUCCAGACUCCUACGGGAGGCAGCAGUGGGGAAUAUUGCACAAUGGGCGCAAGCCUGAUGCAGCCAUGCCGCGUGUAUGAAGAAGGCCUUCGGGUUGUAAAGUACUUUCAGCGGGGAGGAAGGGAGUAAAGUUAAUACCUUUGCUCAUUGACGUUACCCGCAGAAGAAGCACCGGCUAACUCCGUGCCAGCAGCCGCGGUAAUACGGAGGGUGCAAGCGUUAAUCGGAAUUACUGGGCGUAAAGCGCACGCAGGCGGUUUGUUAAGUCAGAUGUGAAAUCCCCGGGCUCAACCUGGGAACUGCAUCUGAUACUGGCAAGCUUGAGUCUCGUAGAGGGGGGUAGAAUUCCAGGUGUAGCGGUGAAAUGCGUAGAGAUCUGGAGGAAUACCGGUGGCGAAGGCGGCCCCCUGCACGAAGACUGACGCUCAGGUGCGAAAGCGUGGGGAGCAAACAGGAUUAUAUACCCUGGUAGUCCACGCCGUAAACGAUGUCGACUUGGAGGUUGUGCCCUUGAGGCGUGCCUUCCGGAGCUAACGCGUUAAGUCGACCGCCUGGGAGUACGGGCCGCAAGGUUAAAACUCAAUGAAUUGAUGGGGCCCGCACAAGCGGUGUAGCAUGUGGUUUAUUUCGAUGCACGCGAGACCUUACUUGUCUGACAUCCGACGGAGGUUUCAGAGAUGAUAUUGCUUGCUUCGGGACGUGAGACAGUGCUGCAUGCUGUCGUACCUCCGUGUUUGGAAUGUGUAAGUCCCGCACUGAUGCUACCUUAUCUUUUGUGCCAACGUUCGGCGAAUCAAGUAAACUUGGCAGUGCUACUGAGAAUUGGGAUACCGUCAAGUCUUAUCGUG